UACGGAGGGUCCAAGCGUUAUCCGGAAUCAUUGGGUUUAAAGGGUCCGUAGGCGGUUUUGUAAGUCAGUGGUGAAAGCCCAUCGCUCAACGGUGGAACGGCCAUUGAUACUGCAAGACUUGAAUUAUUGGGAAGUAACUAGAAUAUGUAGUGUAGCGGUGAAAUGCUUAGAGAUUACAUGGAAUACCAAUGGCGAAGGCAGGUUACUGCCAAUAUAUUGACGCUGAUGGACGAAAGCGUGGGGAGCGAACAGG
rnacentral:rRNA from 1 species